AUUGAACGCUGGCGGCAGGCCUAACACAUGCAAGUCGAGCGGUAACAGAUUGAUAGCUUGCUAUCAAUGCUGACGAGCGGCGGACGGGUGAGUAAUGCCUGGGAAUAUACCCUGAUGUGGGGGAUAACUAUUGGAAACGAUAGCUAAUACCGCAUAAUCUCUUCGGAGCAAAGAGGGGGACCUUCGGGCCUCUCGCGUCAGGAUUAGCCCAGGUGGGAUUAGCUAGUUGGUGGGGUAAUUGCUCACCAAGGCGACGAUCCCUAGCUGGUCUGAGAGGAUGAUAAGCCACACUGGAACUGAGACACGGUCCAGACUCCUACGGGAGGCAGCAGUGGGGAAUAUUGCACAAUGGGGGAAACCCUGAUGCAGCCAUGCCGAGUGUAUGAAGAAGGCCUUCGGGUUGUAAAGUACUUUCAGUUGUGAGGAAGGCGUUGGAGUUAAUAGCUUUAGCGUUUGACGUUAGCAACAGAAGAAGCACCGGCUAACUACGUG
rnacentral:rRNA from 1 species